AAAAUUUGUCAAAAUGUCAACCGGCGUAGCCAUCUCGUAGUAAUUUAGUAUUUCUAUUUUAAUGCAAAAUUUUUUGUGUAUCUGAAAAGUAUCACAAUGCCUCUUUUUGGAAAAUUUAAGAAAAAGAGAUCCGAAGAUGAAGGUUCUAGAUCUGGAUCUGAAUCGCUAUCUGAAAACGCUAAAAGCAGUUCCGGUGAAAUAAGAAAACGUCGUGCGUCUCGCUCACUACGAAGCCACAUGGAGCGUGUUGAAAUGCUCGCCCGACCCCAGUCUCGACGGCUGCGCUCUCUCUGGGAUGAGAAGUGUGCCAUUCUACCUGUGGACAGGAGAGACAAGAUAAAAAGUGCCCUAGAAGAGGACUAUUUUCUUAGUCCUGAGCAAACAGAGCAAUAUUUCCAAGCUCUGGGCCAGCACAAGCGUUGGCCUGGUUUCGGUACGACGAUCAGUCGCAAAGAGCAGGCGGACUUGGAGAGGGAGCUUCGUCAACGAGAGAAGUGGCUUAUCAACUUCAGUGCACAGGUGGCGUAUCGGCUCUGCGACUACAUAGCUAAGGGGGAGAAAGAGAUGUUGGUGUCAAACAGACUGAGGAGUAUUGCCGAUAUCGUCCUAGAACGAGUUGCUGAUAUACUGGGUGAACCGAAGCCAUCGCGUUCUCACCCUGGUCGACUGGCGCGGUUCAUGGUGGCGAUAUCGGAUCGUAUUGCGGUGUGGAUAGAGAACGCAGUAUACCGAGCUAAUGCACUCGAGUGUCGUGAGUCAGAGGCUUUUGACGACCACGUACGCCUUGAUAUCGACCCCUCACUAGUUCGAUAGCUUACCAAGACGUCAUGUAAGGAAACGAUGGGACGAGGGGUAAACUAAACGGAAAUUCUGUUCAGCGAAGAAAAAAACUUUUGAUACAAGUCAGUAAUCUUCGUUUUGUGCUUGGUGGCGUUGGCGGCUGCCAACCCACAGCUACUCACGUGGCCCGGCAUCGUGGCACCUCUGGGUUCUAGAACCAUUGUCGCCGGUCCUACUGUUGUGAACGAUGGGCUUUGGGGAGGUCGUGUUCUUUCGCCCGGAGUUAUCGCUGCUGGCUUAGUGUAAACUGGCAAUAAGCAACCCGUUACAAGAACAAUGAGCAAUCGAUUUCUACAUACACAUGCAAUAUGAUGUAAACAAAAUAAAGACCUUUGAGUACAAAAAA